rnacentral:rRNA from 1 species
CGAACGAUGAACCACUUCGGUGGGGAUUAGUGGCGAACGGGUGAGUAACACGUGGGCAAUCUGCCCUGCACUCUGGGACAAGCCCUGGAAACGGGGUCUAAUACCGGAUACGAGCUCCCAUCGCAUGGUGGGGGUUGGAAAGCUCCGGCGGUGCAGGAUGAGCCCGCGGCCUAUCAGCUUGUUGGUGAGGUAACGGCUCACCAAGGCGACGACGGGUAGCCGGCCUGAGAGGGCGACCGGCCACACUGGGACUGAGACACGGCCCAGACUCCUACGGGAGGCAGCAGUGGGGAAUAUUGCACAAUGGGCGAAAGCCUGAUGCAGCGACGCCGCGUGAGGGAUGACGGCCUUCGGGUUGUAAACCUCUUUCAGCAGGGAAGAAGCGAAAGUGACGGUACCUGCAGAAGAAGCGCCGGCUAACUACGUGCCAGCAGCCGCGGUAAUACGUAGGGCGCAAGCGUUGUCCGGAAUUAUUGGGCGUAAAGAGCUCGUAGGCGGCUUGUCGCGUCGGAUGUGAAAGCCCGGGGCUUAACCCCGGGUCUGCAUUCGAUACGGGCAGGCUAGAGUUCGGUAGGGGAGAUCGGAAUUCCUGGUGUAGCGGUGAAAUGCGCAGAUAUCAGGAGGAACACCGGUGGCGAAGGCGGAUCUCUGGGCCGAUACUGACGCUGAGGAGCGAAAGCGUGGGGAGCGAACAGGAUUAGAUACCCUGGUAGUCC